rnacentral:lncRNA from 1 species
AAGGGGACAAGUCUGCCUGAUAAAUAAGACCAUCCCGCCACGAACAGGAUCAUUUUGGUUUACCUGGGGGCUGGGGUCCACCACUUCUACUCUUUAGAUCUCUCGAAAGAUGAGCAGUUAAGCACCCCUGUGAGCUCUCUCUGCACGCCCCAUCCACUGAUGCUCCAACGUCAGUUUGCUGCAGACAGCAAAUGGUCUUGUAUAAUCAUUGGGGGACCCCCCUUCCUUGUUCCUGUUCAAGUUUCACCACCUGUUUCGGAAUGACUAUCUCAUGAAAGAUGUCAAGCUGAAAAAGGGAAAUUGGCUUGCUCUGCGUGGUGGACUUGGGACCGAGCUGGGUGAAAAUAUGGUUACCAGUGCGCCAGUUUGAGGCUGUUGAAAAACCUCAAGGCUGUUCCUAUCACCCAGAGAAAUCCCGGACUCUGGAUGCAAAGGGUAAUUGGAGAACUUGCUGAAGGGUUGCCUGAGGAAGCUGCAGAAGCAGCUUCUUCCAUUCUUACUUCCUAUUAGAUGUAUCCUUGGCAUUUCCAUGGCAACUGGGAAGCUUCUUGGGUUUCACUGAACCAUGGCUUGGGAAGAUAUGGGAGGACGAUUGGAUGGGGUAGGUAGACAGAGAGGCUGAGAUGUGUAAAUCUUCCCAUUUUAUCCUCACGUCUGGUUCUAACAGGCCUAUCCCCCAAACAGGUGCAGGAAAUCAGGCAUCAUUAUUCAUUUUGUGACCUCAAGGCCCCUGAUGCCAAUCCUGAGAGUCACAAACAUGUGUCAAGUGCCUAGAGAUCUGCCCUGGAAACAUCUGGCCUAGCUUCCUAUUGUGGCCUUGUCCACCCUCAGGGCUCCCCUUCUUCUGCCCAUCUUUAUUCUUUCUCCUUGUCUUCCUUUAGCUUCUUCCCCAAGCCUCUGGCAGAGACCAAGCUUAGUGCCAGGGUCAGGGAGAAGGCACAAUUUUCUUUUGGGGGAGACUGGGUGGUGUGGAGGGGAUGGGAAAUACAGCGUGGAGGUCAAGAGCAAUGUCUGCUUUCUAGCCAUGUGACCUUGAGCUUCAGUUUCUUCCUCAGUGUCGAGAACCAACAGGGGUGCAGGCCCACUGGGGUCCCGCCAGUAAUGCUCAUUCGGAAAGCAAGAUCUGAGAGCCCAGCGCUGGGAGAUGCUUUGUGCGCUGCCCUGGGCCAGAUAAUCAGGCUCGGGGUGCCAGGAUCACAAGUGCAGCCAGUAGAGCCACGUGUUCCUGAAUAAAAGAAAAAUAUCAAGAGAUGACCACAGGUGUCUGACUUUCCUCCCUGGUGGAAGGGCCAGGUCAGUCUUGGCAAAAGGUCUCCACAGGCACCAUACUGCCUUUAUGUGACCAGAAUGGCAGGCUGAGAGCUCUCCUGCAGGCCAGGCCCCUGGGUUCCUUCUCCUCACCAAGUCCCUGAGGUCGUUGUGUACCUCGAUCAUUGUCUGUCUGUCUAUUCAUCUAUCCGUUCAUCCAUCUAGCUGUCCAUCCAUCCAUCCAUCCAUCCAUCCAUCCAUCCAUCCAUCCAUCCAUCCAUCCAUCCAUCCAUCCAUCCAUCUAUCCAUCCAUCCAUUCAUCCAUCCAUCCAUCCAUCCAUCCAUCCAUCCAUCCACCCAUCCAUCCAUCCAUUCAUCCAUCUAUCCAUAUGUAUCCCUAUCUUUGCCAUCAUCAUUAGAAAUACCGUCAGUCAUU